rnacentral:rRNA from 1 species
CCUACGGGAGGCUGCAGUGAGGAAUAUUGGUCAAUGGACGAGAGUCUGAACCAGCCAAGUAGCGUGAAGGAUGACGGCCCUAUGGGUUGUAAACUUCUUUUAUAUGGGAAUAAAAUGUUCCACGUGUGGGAUUUUGUAUGUACCAUAUGAAUAAGGAUCGGCUAACUCCGUGCCAGCAGCCGCGGUAAUACGGAGGAGCCGAGCGUUAUCCGGAUUUAUUGGGUUUAAAGGGAGCGUAGGUGGAUUGUUAAGUCAGUUGUGAAAGUUUGCGGCUCAACCGUAAAAUUGCAGUUGAAACUGGCAGUCUUGAGUACAGUAGAGGUGGGCGGAAUUCGUGGUGUAGCGGUGAAAUGCUUAGAUAUCACGAAGAACUCCGAUUGCGAAGGCAGUUCACUGGACUGCAACUGACACUGAGGCUCGAAAGUGUGGGUAUCAAACAGGAUUAGAUACCCCUGUAGUC